rnacentral:rRNA from 1 species
UACGUAGGGUGCGAGCGUUAAUCGGAAUUACUGGGCGUAAAGCGUGCGUAGGCGGUUUCAUAAGCUUGAUGUGAAAGCCCCGGGCUCAACCUGGGAAUGGCAUUGAGGACUGUGGAGCUAGAGUGCGGCAGAGGGAGGCGGAAUUCCACGUGUAGCAGUGAAAUGCGUAGAGAUGUGGAGGAACACCGAUGGCGAAGGCAGCCUCCUGGGCCGACACUGACGCUGAGGGCACGAAAGCGUGGGGAGCAAACAGG